rnacentral:rRNA from 1 species
CCUACGGGAGGCAGCAGUGAGGAAUAUUGGUCAAUGGCCGGAAGGCUGAACCAGCCAAGCCGCGUGAAGGACGAAGGUGCCAAGCAUCGUAAACCUCUUUUGUCAGGGAACAAAGGCGGGGACUAGUCCCCGGAUGAGGGUACCUGAAGAAAAAGCAUCGGCAAACGCCGUGCCAGCAGCCGCGGUAAUACGGAGGAUGCGAGCGUAAUCCGGAUUUAUUGGGUUUAAAGGGUGCGCAGGCGGCCUGUUAAGUCAGCGGGAAAAGCCCGGGGCUCAACCCCGGCGAGCCGUUGAAACUGGCGGGCUGGAGUUGGAGAGAAGUACGCGGAAUGCGCGGUGUAGCGGUGAAAUGCUUAGAUAUCGCGCAGAACCCCGAUGGCGAAGGCAGCGUACCGGCUCCACACUGACGCUGAGGCACGAAAGCGUGGGUAUCGAACAGGAUUAGAUACCCGAGUAGUC